rnacentral:rRNA from 1 species
UGCAGUAGAACGCACAGGAUGCACCGUAGUUUACUACACCGUAUUCUGUGAGUUGCGAACGGGUGAGUAACGCGUAGGUAACCUGCCUGGUAGCGGGGGAUAACUAUUGGAAACGAUAGCUAAUACCGCAUAAGAACAUUUACUGCAUGGUAGAUGUUUAAAAGGUGCAAGAGCAUCACUACCAGAUGGACCUGCGUUGUAUUAGCUAGUUGGUGGGGUAACGGCUCACCAAGGCAACGAUACAUAGCCGACCUGAGAGGGUGAUCGGCCACACUGGGACUGAGACACGGCCCAGACUCCUACGGGAGGCAGCAGUAGGGAAUCUUCGGCAAUGGGGGGAACCCUGACCGAGCAACGCCGCGUGAGUGAAGAAGGUUUUCGGAUCGUAAAGCUCUGUUGUUAAGGAAGAACGUGUGUGAGAGUGGAAAGUUCACACAGUGACGGUACUUAACCAGAAAGGGACGGCUAACUACGUGCCAGCAGCCGCGGUAAUACGUAGGUCCCGAGCGUUGUCCGGAUUUAUUGGGCGUAAAGCGAGCGCAGGCGGUUAGAUAAGUCUGAAGUGAAAGGCAGUGGCUCAACCAUUGUAGGCUUUGGAAACUGUUUAACUUGAGUGCAGAAGGGGAGAGUGGAAUUCCAUGUGUAGCGGUGAAAUGCGUAGAUAUAUGGAGGAACACCGGUGGCGAAAGCGGCUCUCUGGUCUGUAACUGACGCUGAGGCUCGAAAGCGUGGGGAGCGAACAGGAUUAGAUAC